GCAUGGUGCUAGCACCUAUAGGUCCAGCUCCCAGAGAGGCUGAGGCAGGAGGUUUGAGCCCAGGAGUCUGGGCUGUAGAGCACAAUACUGAUCAGGUCUCCUCACUAAAUUUGACAUCAAUAUGGUGACCUUACGGUAGCAGGGGACCACUAGGUGGCCUAAGAAGGGUUGAACUGGCCCAAGUUGGAAACAGAGCAGGUCAAACUCCCAUGCUGAUCAGUAGUGGAACCGCACCUGUGAAUAUCCACUACACUCCAGCCUGGGCAACACAUCAAAACCCUAUCUCU
ensembl:misc_RNA Metazoa_SRP Metazoan signal recognition particle RNA